GGUCGAAUACGGAGCUGCGCACUAGAUGCCGCAUCGCUGCGACACUUUGAACCUUCGGCUCUUCUAGUGCACUCGUAUUUUACCGCGUUUAUUUUGGAUCCUACUACCCAUAGACAAUAAAGGAACAUCCAGAAUGACUUCACCGGCGAUAAGUAAAUCACCCGAAAAGCAAAAGUCAGAGAGCAAGUCUCCAUCACAUGCUUCCAUCAACACUCAACCUAUAGCAAAUACAUCCUCAGAGCCGCCUAGGACAGAUCCUUUUAGUUGCUUACGAGUUUUCAAACUUGCAGGACUAAUGAUGAAGCAAGGAUGUUAAUGUGUGGUACCUGGCAAAUGUAGCAUGUUGAAGAUAGCUUAUUUUUUUAAGUAAUAUCUACCGCAGUGAGAAAUCAAAUUAAGAAAUAUCAUUAUUAGUAUACGGUAGAUUUGAGAGAUAUUAGAAAUGGAUAGAUAUUUUUCGAAUUUAUUUCAUUAUAAAAGCUAUAUCUUUCUCUUCAACCCGUAUGUCGUCGUCGUGUAUUGGUUGGUCUUCAUUAUUAAACUAUACUGCCAUCAGGACCACUUACGUUAGACAGACAACAACAGUAUCCUAAACUUAAAAAAUAAUUGGCUUAUUUUUUAGUUUUGAAAAUUUAUAAGUGUGUCGAAAUAAUGUCAACCUCUAGCACCACAAGAAGCAAAUUUCACCUGAAUACUUGGGUUUUACGAUGCUCAGGUAAUUUCGAAAAAUAAAUUUAAAAUUAAAUCAUGUUAUUGUUUGUAGUUUUAAAGUUAAUGUGUUAGAAGCGAUGAGCAAGUUAUAAAAUUUAGGCAAAUGCCUGAUCUUCUAGUUUCUAUCUUAGAAUGAAUCUAUCGGUUCUAGCAUGAUUGUUAAAAUGUUUGUUUAAUAAACUUUAUUAUUAUAAGA